rnacentral:rRNA from 1 species
GGGUUGUGAGGUUAAGCGACUAAGCGUACACGGUGGAUGCCCUGGCAGUCAGAGGCGAUGAAGGGCGUGCUAAUCUGCGAUAAGCGCCGGUAAGGUGAUAUGAACCGUUAUAACCGGCGAUACCCGAAUGGGGAAACCCAGUGUGAUUCGUCACACUAUCAUUAACUGAAUCCAUAGGUUAAUGAGGCGAACCGGGGGAACUGAAACAUCUAAGUACCCCGAGGAAAAGAAAUCAACCGAGAUUCCCCCAGUAGCGGCGAGCGAACGGGGAGGAGCCCAGAGCCUGAAUCAGCAUGUGUGUUAGUGGAAGCGUCUGGAAAGGCGCGCGAUACAGGGUGACAGCCCCGUACACAAAAGCGCAUGUGCUGUGAGCUCGAUGAGUAGGGCGGGACACGUGGUAUCCUGUCUGAAUAUGGGGGGACCAUCCUCCAAGGCUAAAUACUCCUGACUGACCGAUAGUGAACCAGUACCGUGAGGGAAAGGCGAAAAGAACCCCGGCGAGGGGAGUGAAAAAGAACCUGAAACCGUGUACGUACAAGCAGUGGGAGCACAGGUUUACCUGUGUGACUGCGUACCUUUUGUAUAAUGGGUCAGCGACUUAUAUUCUGUAGCAAGGUUAACCGAAUAGGGGAGCCGGAGGGAAACCGAGUCUUAAUUGGGCGUUAAGUUGCAGGGUAUAGACCCGAAACCCGGUGAUCUAGCCAUGGGCAGGUUGAAGGUUGGGUAACACUAACUGGAGGACCGAACCGACUAAUGUUGAAAAAUUAGCGGAUGACCUGUGGCUGGGGGUGAAAGGCCAAUCAAACCGGGAGAUAGCUGGUUCUCCCCGAAAGCUAUUUAGGUAGCGCCUCGUGAAUUCAUCUCCGGGGGUAGAGCACUGUUUCGGCUAGGGGGCCAUCCCGGCUUACCAACCCGAUGCAAACUGCGAAUACCGGAGAAUGUUAUCACGGGAGACACACGGCGGGUGCUAACGUCCGUCGUGAAGAGGGAAACAACCCAGACCGCCAGCUAAGGUCCCAAAGUCAUGGUUAAGUGGGAAACGAUGUGGGAAGGCCCAGACAGCCAGGAUGUUGGCUUAGAAGCAGCCAUCAUUUAAAGAAAGCGUAAUAGCUCACUGGUCGAGUCGGCCUGCGCGGAAGAUGUAACGGGGCUAAACCAUGCACCGAAGCUGCGGCAGCGAACGUAUCACUUAAAGCGAUUCAGCGGGUUACGAUUGACGGAGCGAAGCGACGUCAAAGCGUAUACAAAGUCGAGUCGGUUUAAGGAUACGUUCGUUGGGUAGGGGAGCGUUCUGUAAGCCUGCGAAGGUGGCCUGUGAGGGUUGCUGGAGGUAUCAGAAGUGCGAAUGCUGACAUAAGUAACGAUAAAGCGGGUGAAAAGCCCGCUCGCCGGAAGACCAAGGGUUCCUGUCCAACGUUAAUCGGGGCAGGGUGAGUCGACCCCUAAGGCGAGGCCGAAAGGCGUAGUCGAUGGGAAACGGGUUAAUAUUCCCGUACUUGGUGUUACUGCGAAGGGGGGACGGAGAAGGCUAUGUUGGCCGGGCGACGGUUGUCCCGGUUUAAGCGUGUAGGUGUGUGUUCCAGGUAAAUCCGGUUCACUUUAACACUGAGGCGUGAUGACGAGGCACUACGGUGCUGAAGCAACAAAUGCCCUGCUUCCAGGAAAAGCCUCUAAGCAUCAGGUAACAUCAAAUCGUACCCCAAACCGACACAGGUGGUCAGGUAGAGAAUACCAAGGCGCUUGAGAGAACUCGGGUGAAGGAACUAGGCAAAAUGGUGCCGUAACUUCGGGAGAAGGCACGCUGACACGUAGGUGAAGUGAUUUACUCAUGGAGCUGAAGUCAGUCGAAGAUACCAGCUGGCUGCAACUGUUUAUUAAAAACACAGCACUGUGCAAACACGAAAGUGGACGUAUACGGUGUGACGCCUGCCCGGUGCCGGAAGGUUAAUUGAUGGGGUCAGCGCAAGCGAAGCUCCUGAUCGAAGCCCCGGUAAACGGCGGCCGUAACUAUAACGGUCCUAAGGUAGCGAAAUUCCUUGUCGGGUAAGUUCCGACCUGCACGAAUGGCGUAAUGAUGGCCAGGCUGUCUCCACCCGAGACUCAGUGAAAUUGAACUCGCUGUGAAGAUGCAGUGUACCCGCGGCAAGACGGAAAGACCCCGUGAACCUUUACUAUAGCUUGACACUGAACAUUGAGCCUUGAUGUGUAGGAUAGGUGGGAGGCUUUGAAGUGUGGACGCCAGUCUGCAUGGAGCCGACCUUGAAAUACCACCCUUUAAUGUUUGAUGUUCUAACGUGGACCCGUAAUCCGGGUUGCGGACAGUGUCUGGUGGGUAGUUUGACUGGGGCGGUCUCCUCCUAAAGAGUAACGGAGGAGCACGAAGGUUGGCUAAUCCUGGUCGGACAUCAGGAGGUUAGUGCAAUGGCAUAAGCCAGCUUGACUGCGAGCGUGACGGCGCGAGCAGGUGCGAAAGCAGGUCAUAGUGAUCCGGUGGUUCUGAAUGGAAGGGCCAUCGCUCAACGGAUAAAAGGUACUCCGGGGAUAACAGGCUGAUACCGCCCAAGAGUUCAUAUCGACGGCGGUGUUUGGCACCUCGAUGUCGGCUCAUCACAUCCUGGGGCUGAAGUAGGUCCCAAGGGUAUGGCUGUUCGCCAUUUAAAGUGGUACGCGAGCUGGGUUUAGAACGUCGUGAGACAGUUCGGUCCCUAUCUGCCGUGGGCGCUGGAGAACUGAGGGGGGCUGCUCCUAGUACGAGAGGACCGGAGUGGACGCAUCACUGGUGUUCGGGUUGUCAUGCCAAUGGCACUGCCCGGUAGCUAAAUGCGGAAGAGAUAAGUGCUGAAAGCAUCUAAGCACGAAACUUGCCCCGAGAUGAGUUCUCCCUGAGACUUAGAGUCUCCUGAAGGAACGUUGAAGACGACGACGUUGAUAGGCCGGGUGUGUAAGCGCAGCGAUGCGUUGAGCUAACCGGUACUAAUGAACCGUGAGGCUUAACCUUACAACGCCGAAG